AGCUGUCAACGAAUCUGCUCUGGCUGCAUUUCCCAGUCCUCUGUCCCUGCAGCAGCAGCCAGGGUCACUGAACCCUUGUCGGGUUCAAAGGACACUGCUGGCCCUGCUUCCAGUCAGUGUUCAAGGUCUCAAACAGAGCUGCUUCCGUCCCUCCUGCCAGCCAGGCUUCCUCAUUGUCCAAAAAGUGGGGCUUUUGAAUGCUCUUCUGUCCAACUUCAACCCAUGAAAGUGUGGGAGAUUCAAAUCCUGUUGGCCAGGCAGCAGGAGCAGGGUGAGGAGAUCUGGGAUGAGCACUGCAGGGUGCUGUUCUCCUUAGGGAUCCAUGUGGGAUACCAGGGUUAUCUCCUGGACACUGUGCCCAGCAGGGACAGCUUUCUGUCCAAAUCUCUGCAGACACCUUCCAAUGGAGCCUUGUCUUAAGGCUUCCUCCACCUUCUAAAGAGCGUGGGUGUUUUCACGCCCUGUUUUGGGGCUGUGGAAGUUUAUUCUGUCCAGUUUGCCCCACAGGCCUGGGAAACCAGUGUAGCACAAAGCAUGGGGAGUGUCCUGGAGCCAGCAAGGGGGUGAGUCCUGCUCCCUGUGCUGUGCCAGAUUUCUGGUUGGUGUAGGAAGCACCACUUGGAGAUUCUACGGGAGAAUCAGGGGUUCUGAUCAGCUGAAGUUAGGGGAUGGAGUUAAGGAUAUGAUAAGCAGCCACUGAAAGUCUGAAACUUUCCUCUCCUCUCUGUCCCCAGAACAGCUUUCGAGUUUGACUCCUAAAGACUGUCCCCACCUCCUUCUGCAAGCAAUAUCAGGGCCACUUGCAGCUGCCACAGCUUCCACUCUCACCAACCCCAUGGAUGUGGUGAGGGCUCGGGUCCAGGUGGAAGGCAAGAGCUCCAUCAUUCUCACCUUCAAGCAGCUCAUUGCAGAGGAAGGUCCCUGGGGGCUGACUAAAGGCCUCUCUGCCCGCAUCAUUUCGGCCACUCCUUCCACCAUCGUCAUCGUGGUGGGCUAUGAGACGCUGAAGAAGCUGAGCCUGCGCCCAGAGCUGGUGGACUCGAGGCACUGGUAGAGGCAGCUGGGGGAGGAGAACCUUCCUGUGAACUCUCUUGAGUCUGAACUGUUGCAAGGGAGAGCCUGGGAUGCCACGCAGCUGCUGUGCCUUUGUCUCCGGCUGGUUUCACAGCACAAGGCAGAUGCAAAAGCAGCUGCACUUCACCUCUUUGGGUCUGAGUGUCGUGCAAUGGUCUGCUGCUGGUUUCGCUUCACCUGUGACCUUGGGCAGUGCUCUUUGCCUGGAUCAGUCCGUUCCAGGUGUGUGAAUGCAUCCUGGCAAGUUGUUAAUUCCCUUUUUUUUUUUUUUUAAUUAAAGACUUACUGGCUUAAGCAAAAAAGCCAGUUUGAUUCUCUUUAAAUUAUUUUCAUCUUUGCCAAACUUCCGAGGAGUCUCACAGCCUGCAGCAGGACCCUCUGCUGGGAUGUCUCUAGUGGCAGUUGUGCUGUGGGAAGCUGGAAGCAGAAAAUAGAUGAGUGACUUUCUCCAAUUACCUGCUUUUAUUUCUAGAAGAUGUGAGACAAAGAGUAACCUGGAACCACUUCAGACCUGAUUUUCCUGCGUUUUGAAUAGAUCUACAUACUUGUUUUGUAUCUUCUUGGGAAAUGCUCCCUGUCUCUCAUCCUCCAAACAGCAAGCUGGCUGAGAGCAAGUCAGGAGCUGAGCUGGCUGUUUGGAAUUAGCUGAUGGCAGUUUUGACACCUAACCUGUGUUUUUAAUCUGUUGUAAUUUAAUUUUUUUUUUUUAUUUUAUUUUAGGGGAAGCUUAUUCUGAUUUCUGGGGAACUGAAUGGUUGUCCUGUGGCCUCGUUCAGUGUGUCAAUCCUGCAUGUUCCCAGUGGCUGUGGCCACUUCCCACCUUAGUUAGUUUAAGCCCAGAAAUGCAGUUUGGAAGUGUUUGCUCGUGGUGCUGCCAGCAGCUGGAUGAGAACUGAAUGGGCUUUGAGCUACAAUGAGAUGGGACGUGGGGAAGGAGAAACCUUGUGCUGGCUUUUGAUCCAGUUCAAACCUGACAGGCGUGUUUAUAUAAUAAGAAGUGAUGCUUCACUUCACGAGUUGAAAUUCUGCCCUUCCAGUUUGGGAAGGGCAAGGAUGAUGUUUUGCACAAUUGCUGGAUCAGAAGCCUGAGCUAUGGUCUGUGUAUUUUAACCAGGUGAAAACUUCAGGGGGAUGAAACCAGAGGCUGCUUUUUGGGGAGGGGGAGGGAGGGAGGGGGUUGUUGGACUGCACUCUGCUGCUCUUGGUGGUUGAGAUUUGCCUUUCAUGCUGCCAGCCCACACGUGCUGCUCGUCCUGGUUACCCUCAUCGGGGGGCUUCGGGGUGCACCCCCACACAACAGAGUGCACCACCUCCAUUCCCCUUCUGCCAUAACCAGGAGUUUUGGUUGAGGUGUUGAUCCUGCUGGCCUGUGGCUGUUGUUGGUCUCCACUGGGCUGUCUCUUCCCAAGGGGACUCGCCGAGUGUGGCCCUGCCCUUCGUCCCAGUGUUGUCCCUGCUCAGCAGACAUGCUGGAGAUGGAGGGUGCUGAAGCUGCUGCUGAGGUGGGAGAGGCUUCUCUGCUAAGGGCAGGGCUUGAUCCUAAGGUGCAGUGCUGUGAUGGGGCUGCGGGUGGGUCAUCAGAGCCCUCUUCAUCCCAGUUUUGUUUCUUGCAGCGCUCAGAAAGGCACUGGGUGCUGGAGCCACUGGUGGAGUUGUUGGAGCAGCUCCUUCUGCACCUGCUCCAGCCACCUGUUUGUUGUUUUAAAACUUGACAUCAGCCAGCUCUGGCUCUAACGAUAGAUUCUGCUCUGAAAAACAGAACAGCACCGAAUCACAAGGCAGCAGGAUGGUAACACGAAUAUUAACAGGAACAAUAAUGAUCAGCCUCUGCUGGGUGCAGCAGGGUCAGUCCCAGCGUGCAGAACAGAGGGGCGGCAGCACCAGUGUGGGGAGACACUGUCCAACUUAAUGUUCCUCUCGUAACCAGCAACGUUCUUGACACCUAAUAAACUUGAGACCUUCCGUUUGGUGCCUG